rnacentral:rRNA from 1 species
AUUGAACGCUGGCGGCAGGCCUAACACAUGCAAGUCGAGCGGAGCGGCGGACGGGUGAGUAAUGCCUAGGAAUCUGCCUGGUAGUGGGGGAUAACGUCCGGAAACGGGCGCUAAUACCGCAUACUAUCAGAUGAGCCUAGGUCGGAUUAGCUAGUUGGUGGGGUAAAGGCCUACCAGGGCGACGAGCCGUAAGUGGUCUGAGAGGAUGAUCAGUCACACGGGAACGUAGACACGGUCCAGACUCCUACGGUAGGCGUCAGUGGGGAAUAUUGGACAAUGGGCGAAAGCCUGAUCCGUCCAUGCCGCGUGUGUGAAGAAGUUCUUCGGAUUGUAAAGCACUUUAAGUUGGGAGACGUUACCAACAGAAUAAGCACCGGCUAACUUCGUGCCAGCAGCCGCGGAAUUC